GACGAACGCUGGCGGCGUGCUUAACACAUGCAAGUCGAACGGAAAGGCCCUGCUUUUGUGGGGUGCUCGAGUGGCGAACGGGUGAGUAACACGUGAGUAACCUGCCCUUGACUUUGGGAUAACUUCAGGAAACUGGGGCUAAUACCGGAUAGGAGCUCCUGCUGCAUGGUGGGGGUUGGAAAGUUUCGGCGGUUGGGGAUGGACUCGCGGCUUAUCAGCUUGUUGGUGGGGUAGUGGCUUACCAAGGCUUUGACGGGUAGCCGGCCUGAGAGGGUGACCGGCAAAAUGGGGACUGGAAUACGGCCCAGACUCCUACGGGAGGCAGAAGUGGGGAAUAUUGCACAAGGGGGGGAAGCCUGAUGCAGCAACGCCGCGUGCGGGAUAACGGCCUUCGGGUGGUAAACCGCUUUCGCCUGUGACGAAGCGUGAGUGACGGUAAUGGGUAAAGAAGCACCGGCUAACUACGUG
rnacentral:rRNA from 1 species